UACGAAGGGGGGCUAGCGUUGCUCGGAAUCACUGGGCGUAAAGCGCACGUAGGCGGCUUUCUAAGUCAGGGGUGAAAUCCUGGAGCUCAACUCCAGAACUGCCUUUGAUACUGGAGAGCUCGAGUCCGGAAGAGGUGAGUGGAACUCCGAGUGUAGAGGUGAAAUUCGUAGAUAUUCGGAAGAACACCAGUGGCGAAGGCGACACACUGGCCCGUUACUGACGCUGAGGCGCGAAAGCGUGGGGAGCAAACAGG
rnacentral:rRNA from 1 species